AUGAUUCACAUAUUUCAAAUAUUUUCUGUUGUGAUCCUGUGCAUCUCAGAUUCUCUGGGGAUCAUCACAGUAGAUCAGUCUCCUGCUGUCAUCAAUGCCCAACCCCAGGACACUGUGAAGAUUCUUUGUCGAGCCUCGGAGGACAUUGGAAAUGACAUGUCUCUUCACCAGUUCAAACCUGGGCAAGCUCCAAAAGGUCUAAUAUACCAGUGCAAUGGAAGGUUUUCAGGCACCCCAGAGCGUUUCAGUGGCUCUCUGAGUGGGGCUCUGACCACCUUCACCAUCAGUGGAGUUCAGAUAGAGGAUGAGGCUGUUUAUUACUGCCAGCAGAGUGAAGAGUUCCCGCUCACACAGUGA